rnacentral:rRNA from 1 species
AUUGAACGCUGGCGGCAGGCCUAACACAUGCAAGUCGAGCGGAUGAAGGGAGCUUGCUCCUGGAUUCAGCGGCGGACGGGUGAGUAAUGCCUAGGAAUCUGCCUGGUAGUGGGGGAUAACGUCCGGAAACGGGCGCUAAUACCGCAUCCGUCCUGAGGGAGAAAGUGGGGGAUCUUCGGACCUCACGCUAUCAGAUGAGCCUAGGUCGGAUUAGCUAGUUGGUGGGGUAAAGGCCUACCAAGGCGACGAUCCGUAACUGGUCUGAGAGGAUGAUCAGUCACACUGGAACUGAGACACGGUCCAGACUCCUACGGGAGGCAGCAGUGGGGAAUAUUGGACAAUGGGCGAAAGCCUGAUCCAGCCGUGCCGCGUGUGUGAAGAAGGUCUUCGGAUUGUAAAGCACUUUAAGUUGGGAGGAAGGGCAGUAAGUUAAUACCUUGCUGUAUUGACGUUACCAACAGAAUAAGCACCGGCUAACUUCGUG